rnacentral:lncRNA from 1 species
AGUUUGGCUCAGAUUUUUCCCAAGCAUCACGUCAAUGAGCCCUUCUACUGGUUCACCUCGGUUCUCAGGUCCCUCCUUUCUUAGGUCUAAACCUUUGAUAGGCAAAGUCUCCCUUGAUUGUUUCCCUAGACUAUCGUCAUAAAGCACUCCUUGGUGAGCAUCUGAUCGCCUCUCAUCUCUCCUAUCUCAUUCUUGGUCA